rnacentral:misc_RNA from 1 species
AACGCACGAGACCUGCGGACCUGCGGAGGGAUCAUUAUUGAAUAAACUUGGUUGGGCUGUUGCUGGCUCCUUGGAGCAUGUGCACGCCUAGCACCAAUUUUUACCACCUGUGCACCUUUGUGGACCUGGAUACCUCUCGAGGAAACUCGGUUGGAGGACUGCUGUGCGAAAGCCAGCUUUCCUUACAUUUCCGGUUCAUGUUUUCGCAUACCCCAUACGAAUGUAACAGAAUGUCGUUUA